CGAUCGUGACUACGUACUGGUUGCUUUUUUCAGUUUGGCCUAUGGUCAAAUCUGAUAGGGUGGCCUGUACAUCACCCACCAAAGUAUGGCUGUUGGUUCCAUAUACGGUGAUGAUUAAAAGGAGCGGUUGGGGGCAUCAGUAUUUGGCCGCGAGAGGUGAAAUUCUUGGACCGGCCAAGGACUAACAAAUGCAAAGGCACUUGUCCAGACCGUUUCCAUUAAUCAAGAACGAAAGUGGGAGGUUCGAAGACGAUCAGAUACCGUCCUAGUUCCCACUGUAAACUAUGCCGACCUGGGAUCAGUCCAGAGAUACCACAAGCUCUAGAUUGGUCCCUCUGGGAAACUUGAAGUUUUUCGGUUACGGGGAGAGUAUGGUCGCAAGGCUGAAACUUAAAGGAAUUGACGGAAGGGCACCACCAGGGGUGGAGCCUGCGGCUUAAUUUGACUCAACACGGGGAAACUUACCUGGUCCGGACGUCGAUAGGAUACACCGACUGAUAGAUCUUUGUUGAUGCGAUGAGUGGUGGUGCAUGGCCGUUCUUAGUUCGUGGAGUGAUCUGUCGGCUUCAAUGCGGUAACGAACGAGACCACAAUCUCCAUUUAAGAGGCACAAGCAGGUACCGGCAUAUCGUGGCAACAUGAUAUGUAGAUGCUGACGGUUGUGCGACCAGAAAUCAACGGCGAUGUUUGGGAAACUUUGCGUUGCUGUUGAAUAUGGAUGCACUCCCUUGUGCAAUGCAGUUAUUUGUAUCCGCAAAUGGCUGCCUUAUGGCGAGA
rnacentral:rRNA from 1 species